CACGUAGGGUGCGAGCGUUGUCCGGAAUUAUUGGGCGUAAAGAGCUCGUAGGCGGUGUGUCGCGUCGGCCGUGAAAACCUGGGGCUUAACUCUGGGCGUGCGGUCGAUACGGGCAUCACUGGAGUUCGGCAGGGGAGACUGGAAUUCCUGGUGUAGCGGUGAAAUGCGCAGAUAUCAGGAGGAACACCGGUGGCGAAGGCGGGUCUCUGGGCCGAUACUGACGCUGAGACGCGAAAGCGUGGGGAGCAAACAGG
rnacentral:rRNA from 1 species